CUAAGGCGAGGCCGACAGGCGUAGUCGAUGGAUGACGGGUUGAUAUUCCCGUACCCGUGUGCGUGCGACAAGUGAUGAAUCUUAUGGUACUAACCACCCGCCUGUUUCCGCCGGUCUUUUUGGUUGGUGGUUUCAGGUGCGUGGGAUCUUCGUGGGUAGUAGUCAAGUGAUGGGGUGACGCAGAGUGGUAGCUAGGCUUCCUUAUUGGAUUGGAGUGCAAGCGUGUGGCCUGUGGGGUUGGGAAAUCCGCCCCGCGUAUAAGGGUGAGGCGUGAUGCGGACACCAUGUUGUGGUGGUAGUUAGUGUGCCUGUGCUGUCUAGAAAAGCCUCUAGCGAGUGCGUGCAUGGCCCGUACCGGAAACCGACACAGGUGGUCAGGUAGAGAAUACUAAGGCGUUCGGGUGAACUGUGGUUAAGGAACUCGGCAAAAUGCCCCCGUAACUUCGGGAGAAGGGGGACCAUUACUAGUUGCUGACAGCAUGAUGGCUGGUGGUGGUCGCAGAGGAGAGAGGGAAGCGACUGUUUAUUAAAAACACAGGUCCGUGCGAAAACGUGGAAGUUGAGGUAUACGGACUGACGCCUGCCCGGUGCUGGAAGGUUAAGAGGACCCGUGAGUGCGCCUUUAUGGUGUGCGAGGCGGAGAAUUGAAGCCCCAGUAAACGGCGGUGGUAACUAUAACCAUCCUAAGGUAGCGAAAUUCCUUGUCGGGUAAGUUCCGACCUGCACGAAUGGCGUAACGACUUCCCUGCUGUCUCAACCACAGGCCCGGUGAAAUUGCAGUACGAGUAAAGAUGCUCGUUUCGCGCGGCAGGACGAAAAGACCCCGGGACCUUUACUAUAGCUUGGUAUUGGUGUUUGGUCAUGCUUGUGUAGGAUAGGUGGGAGACUGUGAAACCGCAACGCUAGUUGUGGUGGAGUCGCAGGUGAAAUACCACUCUGGUGUGAUUGGGUACCUGAACCUUGGCCCGUGAUCCGGGUUGGGGACAGUGCCUGGUGGGUAGUUUAACUGGGGCGGUUGCCUCCUAAAUGGUAACGGAGGCGCCCAAAGGUUUCCUCAGUCUGGUUGGCAAUCAGAUGGUGAGUGUAAGUGUAUAAGGGAGCUUGACUGUGACACUGACGGGUGGAGCAGGUGCGAAAGCAGGGACUAGUGAUCCGGCAUCGACGUGUGGUUGUGGUGUCGCUCAACGGAUAAAAGGUACCCCGGGGAUAACAGGCUGAUCUUCCCCAAGAGUUCAUAUCGACGGGAUGGUUUGGCACCUCGAUGUCGGCUCGUCGCAUCCUGGGGCUGGAGUAGGUCCCAAGGGUUGGGCUGUUCGCCCAUUAAAGCGG
rnacentral:rRNA from 1 species